GCCUGCUUUGGCAGCUCAUAUACUAAAAUUGGAACCAUACAGAGAAGAUUAGCAUGGUCCCUGCAUAAGGAUGACAUGCAAAUUCGUGAAGCAUUCCAUAAAAAA
ensembl:snRNA U6 U6 spliceosomal RNA